rnacentral:rRNA from 1 species
GGGGGGGGGGGGGGGGGGGGGGGGGCGGGGAGGGGGAGCGGGGGGGCGCGGGGGGGGGGGGGUGGGGGAGUGGCGAACGGGGGAGGGACAAGUGAGUAAGCUGGCCGUUGCUUUGGGAUCACUUCAGGAAACUGGGGCUAAUACCGGAUAGGAGCCGCGGCUGCAUGGGGGGGGGUGGAAGGGUUCGUCGGUUGGGGAUGGACGCGCGGCUUAUCAGCUUGUGGGUGGGGUAGUGGUCUGCCAAGGCUUUGACGGGUAGCCGGCCUGAGAGGGUGACCGGCCACAUUGGGACUGAGAUACGGCCCAGACUCCUACGGGAGGCAGCAGUGGGGAAUAUUGCACAAUGGGCGGAAGCCUGAUGCAGCAACGCCGCGUGCGGGAUGACGGCCUUCGGGUUGUAAACCGCUUUCGCCUGUGACGAAGCGUGAGUGACGGUAAUGGGUAAAGAAGCACCGGCUAACUACGUG